rnacentral:lncRNA from 1 species
GGUUUUUGGGGGAAGAACAUGGAGGAAGGUGGAAGAAGGUGGUGGAAGAUGGUGGAGGAAGAUGGUGGAAAGUGGAGGAAGAUGGAGGAAGGUGGAGGAAGAUGGUGGAAGAUGGUGGUGGAAGAUGGUGGAAGAUGGUGGAAGAUGGUGGAAGAUGGUGGUGGAAGGUGGUGGAAGAUGGUGGAAGAUGGUGGAAGAUGGUGGUGGAAGAUGGUGGAAGAUGGUGGAAGAUGGUGGAAGAUGGUGGUGGAAGAUGGUGGAAGGUGGAGGAAGAUGGAGGAAGAUGGUGGAAGAUGGUGGAAGAUGGUGGAAGAUGGUGGAAGAUGGUGGUGGAAGAUGGUGGAAGGUGGAGGAAGAUGGAGGAAGAUGGAAGAUGGUGGAUGAUCGAAGGUAGAAGAUGGAAGAUGGUGGAUGAUGGAAGGUGGAAGGUGGUGGAAGGUGGAAGAGGAAGAUGGAAGAGGAAGAUGGUGGAUGAUGGAAGAGGAAGAUGGAGGAAGAUGGAAGAUGGUGGAAGGUGGUGGAAGAUGGUGACCAGGGAGGAGGUGGGGGACACUGUGGGGAGGUGGAGAAUGGUGACCCGCCAUCAUGUCACCUUCCGGUCACCCAGAGGAAGAUGGUGGAUGAUGGAAGGUGGAAGAUGGAAGGUAGAAAAUGGAAGAUGGUGGAAGGUAGAAGGUGGAAGAUGGUGGAAGAUGGAAGGAGGAAGAUGGAGGAAGAUGGAGGAAGAUGGAGGAAGAUGGAGGAAGAUGGAGGAAGAUGGAGGAAGAUGGAGGAAGAUGGAGGAAGAUGGAGGAAGAUGGGGGAGGAAGAUGGUGGAGGAAGAUGGUGGAGGAAGAUGGUGGAGGAAGAUGGUGGAGGAAGAUGGUGGAAGAUGGUGGAAGAUGGUGGAAGAUGAUGGUGGAAGAUGAUGGUGGAAGAUGGAGGUGGAAGAUGGAGGUGGAAGAUGGAGGUGGAAGAUGGAGGUGGAAGAUGGAGGACUUGGGAGACACUGAGGGGAGGUGGAGAGUGGUGACCCGCCAUCAUGUCACCUUCCGGUCACCCAGAGGAAGAUGGUGGAAGAUGGUGGAAGAUGGUGGAAGAUGGAAGAGGAAGAUGGUGGAUGAUGGAAGGUAGAAGAUGGAAGGUAGAAGAUGGUGGAAGAUGGAAGAGGAAGAUGGAAGAGGAAGAUGGUGGAUGAUGGAAGGUAGAAGAUGGAAGGUAGGAUGUGGAAGAUGGAAGAUGGUGGAAGGUAGAAGGUGGAAGAUGGUGGAAGAUGGAAGGUAGAAGAUGGAAGAUGGUGGAAGAUGGAGGAAGAUGGAGACCAGGGAGGACGUGGGGGACACUGAGGGGAGGUGGAGAGUGGUGACCCGCCAUCAUGUCACCUUCCGGUCACCCAGAGGAAGAUGGUGGAUGAUGGAAGGUGGAAGAUGGAAGGUAGAAAAUGGAAGAUGGUGGAAGGUAGAAGGUGGAAGAUGGUGGAAGAUGGAAGGAGGAAGAUGGAGGAAGAUGGAGGAAGAUGGAGGAAGAUGGAGGAGGAAGAUGGUGGAGGAAGAUGGUGGAGGAAGAUGGUGGAGGAAGAUGGUGGAAGAUGGUGGAAGAUGGUGGAAGAUGAUGGUGGAAGAUGAUGGUGGAAGAUGGAGGUGGAAGAUGGAGGUGGAAGAUGGAGGUGGAAGAUGGAGGUGGAAGAUGGAGGACUUGGGAGACACUGAGGGGAGGUGGAGAGUGGUGACCCGCCAUCAUGUCACCUUCCGGUCACCCAGAGGAAGAUGGUGGAAGAUGGUGGAAGAUGGUGGAAGAUGGAAGAGGAAGAUGGUGGAUGAUGGAAGGUAGAAGAUGGAAGGUAGAAGAUGGUGGAAGAUGGAAGAGGAAGAUGGAAGAGGAAGAUGGAAGAGGAAGAUGGAAGAGGAAGAUGGAAGAGGAAGAUGGAAG